rnacentral:misc_RNA from 1 species
GGCCAAUUAUAUUUAUAUUUGCGAUAAGGACAUAAUUAUGAACUCAAAAUAUGUGAAUGAGAUCGAAAGAGAUUUGAAUGUGAUAAAUGAUUUAGGGCAUUGCAUACUGCAUCUACUCUAAGAUUCAUUAGUCGAGAUGCUAUAUUAUUCUAACAGGUAUACAGUAAUGAGCUCUCAAAGUAUGCAUUGGCCACAUGAUCAAUUUUUAAAGUAUGAAAU